UUCUCCGUGUUGGUCAGGCUGGUCUUGAAUUCCCAACCUCAGGUGAUUCGCCCGCCUCAGCCUCCCAAAGCGCUGGGAUUACAGGUGUGAGCCACCGUGCCCUGCCAACUGGCUUGGGUUUUAAAAUUAAGGCUCACUCUAGGACCGUAGGAAGCCAGGGAGAUGGCUGAAGGGAGGCCACAGACAGGUAUCCUGGGAGAAGAGGUGGGACCAGGUGGAGGUUCUACCUGGUUAGGUUUGGGAGAGGCUCAGAGGUUGAGUCAACAAGGGCUCCCCAGACCAGAGGCACUAGGUGAGGGGGAAGGUGCAGGCCGGCUGCCCCUUGCUGGCCUGGGCAGCUGGGAGGUGGUGUCAUCGUUGUCUGGGGGACAAAGCUGGGGCUGUGGGUUUGGGGCUCUGUGUGGGCCAUCUUGAUAUCAGCUUGUCUAUAGACACCCACGCAGAGGUGUUGAGUGGAGCUGGACCCAAGUCCAGGUGUCAGCUCGGAGGGAGCAUUGCCCCCAUGAAAAGAUGGCUGAGUGAGCUCUGGGCUCUCCUGGGUGAAGAGAAGGAGCCGGGCCAGGCUCACACCUGGAAUCUCAGCACUGUGGGAGGCCUAGGCGGGAGGAUCACUUGAGCCCAGGAAUUCGAGACCAGCUGGGCAACACAGUGAGACCCUAACUUUACAGAACAUACCAAAAUUAGCCGGAUGUGGUGGCUUGCACCUGUAAUCCCUGCUACUUGGGGGGCUGAGGUGGGAGCAUCACCUGAGCCUGGGAGGUGGAAGUCGCCGUGAGCUGUGGUUCAACCGCUAGUUCUGCAGCCUGGGGAACAGAGCAAGACCCUGUCUCACAAGAUAAAAAUAAAACAAUAAAGAAAAGAGGAGGAGCCCAGGAAGGCGAUGGGAAGGAGUAGCUGGGGUUGACUCCAGAACACAGGGCUGGGGGUCCUGGAACAGGAGAAGAAGGCACGUCGGGGGGCAGGUGUGCGACACUGCGGCAAUGUCACGUCAGAUAAGGAGAAAGAACUGAGCAGAGGGGUCAGCGCCGGUGAGGCCGUGGCACACCUCACAAUGGGAGAUCUGUGGGUUGGACAGCAGUUCAGGCGUGGGCAUCUCAGCCCCUGGCCAAGGACUGCGUUCUGAGAAAGCUUCAUUGAUCUUACCAGUAGGCGGACGGGGUGGUUCUCACUCUUUCUUGCUGACGUGAAUCAGGGCUCUCCAGCCGCUCCUGGCAGCCAUCUUGUCACCAUGAGGGAACCCAAGAGGAGUGCAGAGAUGCAGAGCCGGACCCUUGAUCGGACCCCUCCUGAAUCCCGCCUCUGGGCUUCCCAAAAAACAGCCCCAGGCUAAAAUGGCUUCUCCAGUGGUCCAGACAGGGAGGGACCUCAGAGCUCACCCACCGCUCACUGGAACCCUCGCUCAAAGGCCAGGGGACGAGACCUCAAGGAGGAAGAGUGUGCCGAGGUCACUCAGAGUGGAGGUUUGAGCCCCGGGUCUCUCCCACCCCACUCCCCAGUGCUCCAGUUACGUGCACACCAGCUAAGCCAGGGGUCACCGUUGCCAGGGGUCACCGUUGCCAGGGGUCACAGGUCGCCCAGCCGGAACAGUGCAGGAGCUGCAGCUGGGUGAGGACAGAGAAGUCCCCUCGGGCAGGCCUGGGAAGGGAGGGGCGUGGUGUUCUCUUCUGCCUGCUGGGGGCCGUUUCUCACUGGUGACCCUAGGAGCCCUGGGUGCUGUGUCCAGACCUGGCCAAUCAGACCAUUGUCCCCGACCAUGGUCACUGACCUGGGGCAGCACAAGCCCAGACUUAGCCAGCGAGAUGCAGUCUUGCAGCUCUGAGUCUGGGGCAGCGAGGGUGUCAGUCUGCCGUCAUGCUGCUGUGAAAGGGAGAUGACGGCAGGACAUAGCACCAAAGACAUGGGCCGAGAGCCCUGAUCCAGCCAUGCCUGAAGCUGCUCACUCCUGAGCCUGACAGAUGGGAGAUGACGGGCAGCCGGGUCCUCCUGCACGAGGCUAAGCAGUCAGGCCAUCGGCCCCCAAGGCAGCGCAUCAGCAGCAAGGACUCAGGAGAUCCCCCGUCUGGCCUCUCCCCCUGAGCUCCCAGGCCAGGGCUGCCGCGGGCACGGACAUCGAUGGGGCUCCUCACCUGAACACCGGAGCUCGAUCUUGCACCUGCAGGGCCGACUGGGGAGUCCUGUCUGGCUUAGAACACCUGCGCACGUCGGGUCCUGUUUGGGAGUCAGAGGGAUGGUGUCUCCGUGUCCCACUGGUCGGCACCAUGCUGGAUGUACGCAGUCCCGUCUGCUGCAGGAACGUGAAUGUGGUCCUGGCGGGCACUGGGGCGGGAGGACCAGCUCCCACCUGCUCCCUGCUUGGGCUGAGGAGAAAGACCAGACAGCCAAAGAGUGGGCACGGGGCUGGGGUGGGGCUGGGGGCUCCCCUCCCUGACUCUCACCUCCUCUCUCUCUGUCUCUCUUACCUCCUGUCUCUCUCUCUCACCUUCUCUUUCUCUUUUACCUCCUCUCUCUCUUAUCCCCUCUCCUGUCUCUCUGUCUCACCCCACCCCGGGGUUUACUUCCUCCCUCAUCUCCUCUCUCUCUGUUUCACCCCCAGCCUCGUGGCUCACCUCCCCGCUCACCUCCUUUUCCUCUUCUUCAGUUUACUGUCUCCCUACCAACUCUCAGCUCCUUUCUCCUCAGCAUCGUUUGGUGCCUGGUGCCCACCCCAGGGAGUUCGGAGUCUGUUUAACAAGAAAGCCAUUUGCCCCCACACCUCACUUGGCCCCCAAGGGCAGUGUGGGUGAAGCAGUUUCUCUCAGUCAGGAAGAGGAGUCAGUCACCCAGACACUCCAGCCUCCCUGUGGCCAGCGCACCUCGCCAUGGCACCAUCACAGGACAGCCACGCCCCCAGUCACACCCGCUGAGCCCCAGCCUGCCCCUGCCUGGUCCGGCUCCCAGGCCUGGGGAAACAGACCUGGCAAGUCUGCGGGGCUGGGGGGUGCGGGGGGGUCUUCAGUACCGCUUCUGUUUUUCCCAUCACAGCAACACUGGAACGGCGGUCAUCACAUCCCAGGUGGGUAAACUGAGGCUCAGGGCCGCAGCGUGAGUUGCUUGAGGUCACACAGUCAGCAGGAGGUCAACUCUGAAGUCCAGCUCUGCCAGCCCAGAAAUGGUGGUGGGAGCCAGCCUGUGUGGUCAGGGGCGCCCCCAGGCAGCACCAUCCGUUCAGAGGGCGCCCAGGGGCCAGAGCCGGGCAGGACCCACCGGGCACACAGCCGCACCAGAGCCACAGCUUCUCACACCCCAGCGCCUCUUAUAAAAGAGAAGCAACAGCGUUUCUGUGGCCGGGCGCGGUGGCUCACGCCUGUAAUCCCAGCACUUUGGGAGGCUGAGGCGGGUGGAUCACGACGUCAGGAGAUCGAGAC